UACGGAGGGUGCAAGCGUUAAUCGGAAUUACUGGGCGUAAAGCGCACGCAGGUGGCUGAGUCAGUCGAUUGCGAAAUCCCUGGGCUUAACCUGGGAAUUGCAGUCGAUACUACUCAGCUAGAGUAUGGGAGAGGACAGUGGAAUUCCCGGUGUAGCGGUGAAAUGCGUAGAUAGCGGGAGGAACACCAGUGGUGAGGACGGCUCUCUGGACCGUUACUGACGC
rnacentral:rRNA from 1 species